UAGUCCACGCUGUAAACGAUGAGAACUUGUUGUUGGGUGCAUAGAGGCACUUAGUAACGGAGCUAACGCGUUAAGUUCUCCGCCUGGGGAGUACGGCCGCAAGGCUAAAACUCAAAGGAAUUGACAGGGGCCCGCACAAGCGGUGGAGCAUGCGGUUUAAUUCGAUGCAACGCGAAGAACCUUACCUACUCUUGAAUCCACGGAAUCUUGCAGAGAUGCGAGAGUGCCUUCGGGAAUCGUGAGACAGGUGCUGCAUGGCUGUCGUCAGCUCGUGUCGUGAGAUGUUGGGUUAAGUCCCGUAACGAGCGCAACCCUUAUCCUUAGUUACCAUCAAUUCGGUUGGGGACUCUAGGGAGACUGCCGGUGAUAAACCGGGAGGAAGGUGGGGACGACGUCAAGUCAUCAUGGGCCCUUACGAGUAGGGGCUACACGCGUGCUACAAUGGGCCGGUACAACGGGGUUGCGAAGACGCGAGUCGGGAGCUAAUCCUCUAAAGGCCGGGU
rnacentral:rRNA from 1 species